CCCGGGAGCUUCGACGGUGUACUCCUCGAGGAUCAUUACCUAGAGUUGUAGGCUUUGCCUACCAUCUCUUACCCAUGUCUUUUGAGUACCUUCGUUUCCUCGGCGGGUCCGCCCGCCGAUUGGACAAACUUAAACCCUUUGUAAUUGAAAUCAGCGUCUGAAAAAACAUAAUAGUUACCACUUUCAACAACGGAUCUCUUGGUUCUGGCAUCGAUGAAGAACGCAGCGAAAUGCGAUAAGUAGUGUGAAUUGCAGAAUUCAGUGAAUCAUCGAAUCUUUGAACGCACAUUGCGCCCCUUGGUAUUCCAUGGGGCAUGCCUGUUCGAGCGUCAUUUGUACCUUCAAGCUCUGCUUGGUGUUGGGUGUUUGUCUCGCCUCUGCGUGUAGACUCGCCUUAAAACAAUUGGCAGCCGGCGUAUUGAUUUCGGAGCGCAGUACAUCUCGCGCUUUGCACUCAUAACGACGACGUCCAAAAAGUACUUUUUACACUCUUGACCUCGGAUCAGGUAGGGAUACCCGCUGAACUUAAGCAUAUCAUAANCCGGAGGAAA
rnacentral:rRNA from 1 species